rnacentral:rRNA from 1 species
AACGAACGCUGGCGGCGUGUUUAAGACAUGCAAGUCGCACGGGAUAAGACAUGUAGUAAUACUUGUUUUAUUUAGUGGCGCACGGGUGAGUAACACGUGAAUUACAUGCCCUAUAGUGGGGAAUAGUCCAGGGAAACUUGGAUUAAUACCCCAUGGUAUCGAAAGAUUAAAGGUGGCCGCAAGGCUGUCGCUAUAGGAUUGGUUCGCGCCCUAUCAGCUUGUUGGUGAGGUAACGGCUCACCAAGGCAAUGACGGGUACCUGGUCUGAGAGGACGAUCAGGCACACUGGAACUGAGACACGGUACAGACACCUACGGGUGGCAGCAGUCGAGAAUAAUUCACAAUGGGGGCAACCCUGAUGGUGCAACGCCGCGUGGAGGAUGACGGUCUUCGGAUUGUAAACUCCUGUCAUCUGGGAGAAAGACCUGACGGUAAAUAGCCGGCAGGGUUGAUAGUACCAGAAGAGGAAGGGACGGCUAACUUCGUGCCAGCAGCCGCAGUAA